rnacentral:lncRNA from 1 species
CUAAGAUGGAAGUCUGCGUGAAGUAAAACCAGAAAAGAGAUGAGCAGUUCUGCAUGAAAUUCUGCAGAGAUGACCUUUGAACUACAGAAUGUCAGAACAGAAUAAAACUCGGUAACUUGGAAUGGAAACAGAAACAUCAGAGACUCGGAUACCCUAUGCAUACGAAGAACUCAGUGCCCGGUGUGAAGCUCCAACAGGACAAUUGUUGAAAUGUUGGCCAAAUUAAAAUACUGUCCUGCAGAUCUCAACAAACAAUAUGAAGUCUGGUUUAUUUCAACAAUUUGUGGUACCUUGACUUGGAAUUAUAUUGCUUAAUAGACAGAUAGUCGGAUGGAAUAUCCAAAAUUGGCAUCAAAACCCCUAGGCCCUUUGAAAUCACUCUUGGGGCCCUUCAUGGAGAGCAGCCUGACAGCCUGACUCUGGUCUAAGAUCAUGCCUUUCACUGACACAUCUUCUAGACUUACUCUCAGG